rnacentral:lncRNA from 1 species
GCAACCCUCAGAGGAAAAAGAAACCACACGAUUCCAAAAGAUACACGGGGCACUUGAGCUCAGCCUUGAGAGCCUCUGAUGACUGUCCUGGAGAGGUUCUCAACCACAAUCUUGGCAGCCGGUGGAGGCAGGUGGUGGUCCCAAUCUACUACCAACCCCAAGUCUUCAAAGUCCAUCCUAUUCAAAAGUGACCUUACGAGCUCCAGCACCAUGUUGGUUCGAGUCUCCUGCUUGAGGGUCCAACGGCUCACAGUCGUG